rnacentral:rRNA from 1 species
CAUUACUGGGCGGACCUGAUCAGCCUGCCGCGUGUGUGAAGAAGGCCUUAUGGUUGUAAAGCACUUUAAGCGAGGAGGAGGCUACUGAGACUAAUACUCUUGGAUAGUGGACGUUACUCGCAGAAUAAGCACCGGCUAACUCUGUGCCAGCAGCCGCGGUAAUAA